rnacentral:pre_miRNA from 1 species
CCCUUAACUAUUAAAAGUUUCGUUUUGGUCCCUUAACUUAUUUUUUGGUUUCGUUUUGGUCCCUUAACUUUUUUUUUUUUAUUUCGUUUUGGUCCUUAACUCUAAUACAUUCAUCCUAACAUAAAGGACCAAAGUGGUUGACGGAGGAAGAGUUAAGGGACCAAAACGAAACCAAAAAAUAAGUUAAGGGACCAAAACGAAACCAAAAAAUAAGUUAAGGGACCAAAACGAAACUUUUAAUAGUUAAGGGA